GGCAGCAGCCAUAUCACUCUGCAACUCACAACUGGCAGCCCAGUGAAGCUCAGCAGGUGUGAGCCUGGUCAGUACCUGGAUGGGAGACUCCUGGGAAAGACUGAGGCUGCUGCUG
rnacentral:rRNA from 1 species